rnacentral:rRNA from 1 species
UACGUAGGGGGCUAGCGUUGUCCGGAAUCAUUGGGCGUAAAGCGCGUGUAGGCGGCUCGGUAAGUCCGCUCUGAAAGUCCAGGGCUCAACCCUGGGAUGCGGGUGGAUACUGCCGGGCUCGAGUCCGGAAGAGGCGAGUGGAAUUCCCGGUGUAGCGGUGAAAUGCGCAGAUAUCAGGAGGAACACCUAUUGCGAAGGCAGCUCGCUGGGACGUAACUGACGCUGAGACGCGAAAGCGUGGGGAGCGAACAGG